GAGUUUGAUCAUGGCUCAGGAUGAACGCUAGCGGGAGGCCUAACACAUGCAAGCUGAGCGGUAGAUUUUCUUCGGAAGAUUGAGAGCGGCGAACGGGUGAGUAACACGUGAGUAACCUGCCCAUGUCUCUGGGAUAAGCGCUGGAAACGGCGUCUAAUACUGGAUAUGACCCAUACCGGCAUCGGUUGUGGGUGGAAAGAUUUAUCGGACAUGGAUGGGCUCGCGGCCUAUCAGCUGGAUGGUGGGGUAAUGGCUCACCAUGGCGACGACGGGUAGCCGGCCUGAGAGGGUGACCGGCCACACUGGGACUGAGACACGGCCCAGACUCCUACGGGAGGCAGCAGUGGGGAAUAUUGCACAAUGGGCGAAAGCCUGAUGCAGCAACGCCGCGUGAGGGAUGACGGCCUUCGGGUUGUAAACCUCUUUUAGUAGGGAAGAAGCGAGAGUGACGGUACCUGCAGAAAAAGCACCGGCUAACUACGUGCCAGCAGCCGCGGUAAU
rnacentral:rRNA from 1 species